AAUUUUUGGGAUGAAAGAAAUGGAAGUUGGGGUGCGGAAGAAAGGAGAAGAUAGGAGGAAGAGAAGAAGAGAGUUUCUAAGGAAUUGGAUCAAAAGUGUAGAUUCGACAACUUCGAGAACUUCCGAAGGGUAAAUUUGGUACUUUAGCUAGCUGAACUUGAGAUUGUGCAGGAUUAAAGAGGAAGUUUGAGGAAGCAGGUUCAACUAAGCUGCUGGGCUUUUAUUGUUGUUUUGUG